rnacentral:misc_RNA from 1 species
CAGCCGCGUAAUUCCAGCUCCAAUAGCGUAUAUUUAAGUUGUUGCAGUUAAAAAGCUCGUAGUUGAAUUUCGGGAUCAAUAUAUCGGUCGUGCCUUGGUACGUACUGGUAUCAUUGGUUUCUCCUUUCUGACGAACCAUGAUGUCAUUAAUUUGGUGUUAUGGGAAGUUAGGACUGUUACUUUGAAAAAAUUAGAGUGUUUAAAGCAGGCUUUAGCUUGAAUACAUUAGCAUGGAAUAAUGAAAUAGGACGUUCGAACCUAUUUUGUUGGUUUUUAGGAUCAACGUAAUGAUUAAUAGGGAUAGUUGGGGGCAUUAGUAUUCAAUUGUCAGAGGUGAAAUUCUUGGAUUUAUUGAAGACUAACUACUGCGAAAGCAUUUGCCAAGGAUGUUUUCAUUAAUCAAGAACGAAAGUUAGGGGAUCGAAGACGAUCAGAUACCGUCGUAGUCUUAACCAUAAACUAUGCCGACUAGGGAUCGGAUGAUGUUAAUUUUUUAAUGACUCAUUCGGCGCCUUACG